CCUACGGGUGGCUGCAGUGGGGAAUAUUGGACAAUGGGCGAAAGCCUGAUCCAGCCAUGCCGCGUGUGUGAAGAAGGCCUUCGGGUUGUAAAGCACUUUCAGUGGGGAAGAAAGCCUUGGGGCUAAUACCCUCGAGGAAGGACAUCACCCACAGAAGAAGCACCGGCUAACUCCGUGCCAGCAGCCGCGGUAAUACGGAGGGUGCGAGCGUUAAUCGGAAUUACUGGGCGUAAAGCGCGCGUAGGCGGUCUGAUAAGCCGGUUGUGAAAGCCCCGGGCUCAACCUGGGAACGGCAUCCGGAACUGUCAGGCUAGAGUGCAGGAGAGGAAGGUAGAAUUCCCGGUGGAGCGGUGAAAUGCGUAGAGAUCGGGAGGAAUACCAGUGGCGAAGGCGGCCUUCUGGACUGACACUGACGCUGAGGUGCGAAAGCGUGGGUAGCAAACAGGAUUAGAUACCCGUGUAGUC
rnacentral:rRNA from 1 species